rnacentral:rRNA from 1 species
UACGUAGGGACCAAGCGUUGUUCGGAUUUACUGGGCGUAAAGGGCGCGUAGGCGGCGCGGUAAGUCACUUGUGAAAUCUCUGAGCUUAACUCAGAACGGCCAAGUGAUACUGCAGUGCUAGAGUGUGGAAGGGGCAAUCGGAAUUCUUGGUGUAGCGGUGAAAUGCGUAGAUAUCAAGAGGAACACCUGAGGUGAGGACGGGUUGCUGGGCCAACACUGACGCUGAUGCGCGAAAGCCAGGGGAGCAAACGGG